UAGAGUGGGAUCUUUGCGAUAAUGUUAAAGCAAUGUGCUUUGAUACAACUAGUUCAAAUACCGGUUGUUUUAAUGGCGCAUGUGCAUUAUUAGAAGAUAAAAUUGGCCGUGACUUAUUAUAUCUUGCUUGUCGCCAUCAUACUUCUGAAUUGAUGUUACGAAAUGUUGCAGAAGUUGCUUGGCCAGUGACGAAUAGUCCAAAUGUACCAAUUUUUAAAAGACUCAGAGAUAAUUAGGAAAAAAUUGAUAAAUCUGCGUAUGAAAUCGGCACAGAGGAUAAAGAUAUUGCACUUAUUUUAAAUCAAAGAAAAGACGAUAUUCUUGACUUCAUAGAAAAUCAACUGAAGAAUCAUCAUCCGAGAAAUGAUUACAAGGAGUUUUUGGAGCUGAGCUGUAUCUUUUUGGGUGGUAUCAAAAGUCAUAGAGCCGAAUUUAAAGCACCUGGUGCUUUUCAUCACGCACGGUGGUUAUCGAAA